rnacentral:tRNA from 1 species
GGUCGUGGCUCAGAGGUAGAGCACACGCCUAGCAUGAGUGAGGCACUGGGUUCGAUUCUCAGCACCA